ACGAACGCUGGCGGCGUGGAUAAGACAUGCAAGUCGAACGAGAGAAUUGCUAGCUUGCUAAUAAUUCUCUAGUGGCGCACGGGUGAGUAACACGUGAGUAACCUGCCCCCGAGAGCGGGAUAGCCCUGGGAAACUGGGAUUAAUACCGCAUAGUAUCGAAAGAUUAAAGCAGCAAUGCGCUUGGGGAUGGGCUCGCGGCCUAUUAGUUAGUUGGUGGGGUAACGGCUCACCAAGGCGAUGACGGGUAGCCGGUCUGAGAGGAUGUCCGGCCACACUGGAACUGAGACACGGUCCAGACACCUACGGGUGGCAGCAGUCGAGAAUCAUUCACAAUGGGGGAAACCCUGAUGGUGCGACGCCGCGUGGGGGAAUGAAGGUCUUCGGAUUGUAAACCCCUGUCAUGUGGGAGCAAAUUAAAAAGAUAGUACCACAAGAGGAAGAGACGGCUAACUCUGUGCCAGCAGCCGCGGUAAUACAGAGGUCUCAAGCGUUGUUCGGAAUCACUGGGCGUAAAGCGUGCGUAGGCUGUUUCGUAAGUCGUGUGUGAAAGGCGCGGGCUCAACCCGCGGACGGCACAUGAUACUGCGAGACUAGAGUAAUGGAGGGGGAACCGGAAUUCUCGGUGUAGCAGUGAAAUGCGUAGAUAUCGAGAGGAACACUCGUGGCGAAGGCGGGUUCCUGGACAUUAACUGACGCUGAGGCACGAAGGCCAGGGGAGCGAAAGGGAUUAGAUACCCCUGUAGUCCUGGCAGUAAACGGUGCACGCUUGGUGUGCGGGGAAUCGACCCCCUGCGUGCCGGAGCUAACGCGUUAAGCGUGCCGCCUGGGGAGUACGGUCGCAAGAUUAAAACUCAAAGAAAUUGACGGGGACCCGCACAAGCGGUGGAGUAUGUGGCUUAAUUCGAUGCAACGCGAAGAACCUUACCUGGGCUUGACAUGUAAUGAACAACAUGUGAAAGCAUGCGACUCUUCGGAGGCGUUACACAGGUGCUGCAUGGCCGUCGUCAGCUCGUGUCGUGAGAUGUUUGGUUAAGUCCAGCAACGAGCGCAACCCCUGUUGCCAGUUACCAGCACGUGAAGGUGGGGACUCUGGCGAGACUGCCCAGAUCAACUGGGAGGAAGGUGGGGACGACGUCAGGUCAGUAUGGCCCUUAUGCCCAGGGCUGCACACGUACUACAAUGCCCAGUACAGAGGGGGCCGAAGCCGCGAGGCGGAGGAAAUCCUGAAAACUGGGCCCAGUUCGGACUGUAGGCUGCAACCCGCCUACACGAAGCCGGAAUCGCUAGUAAUGGCGCAUCAGCUACGGCGCCGUGAAUACGUUCCCGGGUCUUGUACACACCGCCCGUCACAUCAUGGAAGCCGGUCGCACCCGAAGUAUCUGAAGCCAACCGCAAGGAGGCAGGGUCCUAAGGUGAGACUGGUAACUGGGAUG
rnacentral:rRNA from 1 species